AACGAACGCUGGCGGCAGGCUUAACACAUGCAAGUCGAACGCUCGUAGCAAUACGGGAGUGGCAGACGGGUGAGUAACGCGUGGGAACAUACCCUCCGGUUCGGAAUAACUCAGGGAAACUUGAGCUAAUACCGGAUACGGCUGUGAGGCGAAAGAUUUAUCGCCGGAGGAUUGGCCCGCGUCCGAUUAGCUAGUUGGUGUGGUAAUGGCGCACCAAGGCGACGAUCGGUAGCUGGUCUGAGAGGAUGAUCAGCCACAUUGGGACUGAGACACGGCCCAAACUCCUACGGGAGGCAGCAGUGGGGAAUAUUGGACAAUGGGCGCAAGCCUGAUCCAGCCAUGCCGCGUGAGUGAUGAAGGCCUUAGGGUUGUAAAGCUCUUUCAGCUGGGAAGAUAAUGACGGUACCAGAAGAAGAAGCCCCGGCUAACUCCGUGCCAGCCGCCGCAGUAACAC
rnacentral:rRNA from 1 species